UUUGAGCCAAUUUCAAAGAGGCCAGAGGAGCCAGCCAGCAGCUUGUAGGCUCCUCGGCCUCUUCCUCCACCUGCUCCACAUUUCCAACCUUCUUUUCCAGAACAUGUGGCAUCCUCAGGUGUCUAGAGAUGACCAAACAGAAUGAAGCUGCAUCUUGUCUGUGCCCUGAAUCUGAAGCAACCUGGACAGAGCAGGACGCUGCCUGGGAGCUGCUGUUGUGAGGCCAAAAGCCCCGCCUCAUGGGUGCUCAGAGCUCCUCACAGCGGCCCUUGUACCCCGGAAAAAAACAAACAGGAUUUGGCACUGUGGCCUGGUGAUCAUGUCCCCUUCCCUCCCGGUGGAUCAGGCACCCAAGAGUGAUGGAACAGGUGUGAGUGGGCGCACUUCUCCCUCUGCAAGGUUAAUCCACAGCAGGAAGGAGAAUUAAGUGGGUACAGAUGAGCUUUAAGCCCACAGCAUGAAAAAGAACUGGGGAGGGCCAGGCUGCCCCUCCCCCAGGUCUAGCUGGCUUGGCCCAGUGUGACCCAGACCUUGGAGCCUCCACACAGAGGCUCCUGCCACACAGUGCUGUGGCCCUGGGCUCCCACCCGCUCUCUUCUCUGUCCUCCCCACCUCAGGCCUUGCAAAGGCUUCCCCCAUCGGGUGUCCUGGCCCCCUGGGGUUCCUAGACUCAGAGCCUUCCCCAGCCUCCUCUCGCUUCCCGCACAAUUCUCUUCUGUGCCCUAACUGCGGCUGGGUGGGAGCCCGGAGCCGGAGAGGAGACAAGGGUAGAAAGGACACGAAGGGAGGCUAGCCUCCUGCUGGCAGCUUCCUUUCUUCUGUUUGGGUCCCCUGAUCGCCUACAUGAAGAAGAGGAGAGAGCACUGUAGGAGCAGCAGGAAUGCGCAGGCUGCCUGCGGGAGUGAGGUCCGGUUCUCUGGCGGAGUGGGGAUGGUGUCAUCCUGGCGGUAGCCUUGGCAGAGGGUGGGUGGAGGCUGGACGCGAACUGCCUCCGCGAGCGCUCCGUUUUGUGCUACAGCUACCUGGCAAUCCCAGGUCAGUGGGGCAGGAGGCCAAGCCGCGCAGCGGA